GCUGCGCGGGAUGGAGUGGCACCGCACGGCAUGGCACACCGGAAGCAUGGCAUGGAAAGGCAUGUGGGCUCCAGCUGCAGGUGGAAAGGGCAGGAGUGAAACGCAUUUAACUGUGGAAAUGGAAAAAAACACCAGAAGAUAGAGAAGAAAGGAGAGGGAGACUGAAGGAGUAAGGAAGGCUCUGUGCCACGACGGAAUGGCUGAAGGCUUUGGAUGGACACCAACUGCAGUUGGGCUGGUGGCACCACUGGUAAAAUGAGCCAGUGACCACCAUGACCACCCUCCAUCCCCACCAUGCACCAUCAGCCCAAGGCAAUGCCACUCCAUCCCCGUCUCUGUCCCAUGUCCAUCAAGAAAACCAGAUAAAAAACUUUA